CUGCCAGUGCAGUAAGGAGGUGAUAGCCAGCAGGAGUGGGGGACAUCGUGAAGGUUAUGGAGCUCAGCUGUUCUGCUGACACCCCCACCCAGGGUACAUAUACCCCUCCAGUCCCACUGGCAGAGUUUUGUGUCUCUUGCUGGCUGUGGUGGGUGCUGGAAAUCCUGUUUUGUCCUUCACCAGCUUACCAAGGAGGUUUCCCUGGGUUUAUAAACGACUGCAUUUCCCUUCAGCAUGACAGCUGCAGCUUCACCUCUUCUCGUGUGAACCUGGAGUCAGGUCUGAAGAUAUGCCUGUUUACCACAGCUCUUCUUCUGUGUCUGUUCCCAGAACACACUUGUGGACUCCAUCAGCAGAGCUCAUUGUAAUUGAGUUGACACUCAAAAUCAUGUGUGUGCUUAGGAUAUUUGUACUCUUAAGAGUGGAAAUGAAAAGAAAUUGCAGCUAUUUCUCUAGAAAAUAAACAGUGCUUCUUAACAUGCUGCA
rnacentral:lncRNA from 1 species